rnacentral:rRNA from 1 species
AACAAACGCUGGCGGCGUGCCUAAUACAUGCAAGUCGAACGGGGAAAGCUUUCGGGUGAGUACUAGUGGCGCACGGGUGAGUAACGCGUGGAUAAUCUGCCUUAGAGUGGGGGAUAACUAGUCGAAAGAUUAGCUAAUACCGCAUAAGACCACAAGAACUGCGGUUCAAGGGGUCAAAGGUUUUUCGCUCUAAGAUGAGUCCGCGUAAGAUUAGCUAGUUGGUGAGGUAAUGGCUCACCAAGGCGACGAUCUUUAACUGGUCUGAGAGGAUGAUCAGUCACUCUGGAACUGAGACACGGUCCAGACUCCUACGGGAGGCAGCAGUAGGGAAUAUUGCACAAUGGAGGAAACUCUGAUGCAGCGACGCCGCGUGAGUGAUGAAGGCCUUCGGGUCGUAAAGCUCUGUCGCAAGGGGAUAACACAAUGAAUGUACCUUGCAAGAAAGGAUCGGCUAACUUCGUGCCAGCAGCCGCAGUAAAAC